GACGAACGCUGGCGGCGUGCUUAACACAUGCAAGUCGAACGAUGAAGCUGGAGCUUGCUCCGGUGGAUUAGUGGCGAACGGGUGAGUAACACGUGAGAAAUCUGCCCUUGACUCUGGGAUAACUGCGGGAAACUGUAGCUAAUACCGGAUACUUUCCUCGGUGGGCAUCCACUGGGGAAGAAAGAAUUUCGGUCAAGGAUGAUCUCGCGGCCUAUCAGCUAGUUGGUGAGGUAAUGGCUCACCAAGGCGACGACGGGUAGCCGGCCUGAGAGGGUGACCGGCCACACUGGAACUGAGACACGGUCCAGACUCCUACGGGAGGCAGCAGUGGGGAAUAUUGCACAAUGGGCGCAAGCCUGAUGCAGCGACGCCGCGUGAGGGAUGAAGGCCUUC
rnacentral:rRNA from 1 species